rnacentral:rRNA from 1 species
CUACGGGAUGCAGCAGUGAGGAAUAUUGCGCAAUGGGGGAAACCCUGACGCAGCGACGCCGCGUGGAUGAUGAAGGCCUUCGGGUCGUAAAAUCCUGUCAGAAGGAAAGAAGUGUAUGGUAGCUAAUAUCUGCCAUACUUGACGGUACCUUCAAAGGAAGCACCGGAUAACUCCGUGCCAGCAGCCGCGGUAAUACGGAGGGUGCAAGCGUUGUUCGGAAUUACUGGGCGUAAAGCGCGCGUAGGCGGUUUUAUAAGUCAGAUGUGAAAGUCCACGGCUCAACCAUGGAAGUGCAUUUGAAACUGUAAGACUUGAGUAUUGGAGGGGGUAGUGGAAUUCCCGGUGUAGAGGUGAAAUUCGUAGAUAUCGGGAGGAAUACCGGUGGCGAAGGCGACUAUCUGGCCAAAUACUGACGCUGAGGUGCGAAAGCGUGGGGAGCAAACAGGAUUAGAUACCCGCGUAGUC